rnacentral:ncRNA from 1 species
UGAUAAGUUUUAUUCUUGCUUAAAAUUAUUUAUUGUGAAAAGGUGUUAUAUGCAAAUUGUUACCUUUAUUUAUUCUAAAUGAUUAACUAAUGUAUUUUAUUAGCAGUAAUUAAUUUUAUUAAUUGAAGUAAUUUUGAAUUAGUUAUUUUCAUUAAAUAUUGAUAAAAUAUGUGCCAGCAGUCGCGGUUAUACAUAAAAUAUUAAUAAAUAGUUUUAGUUUAUUAGUUAUUAAGAUAAUAUUUAAUUUAUUUUGAAUAUUUUUGGGUGAAAUUUAAUUUUUCUUUUUUGAUUAAAUAUAGUAUAUAAGAGACUAUGAAAUCUAAUAUUUAAACUAGGAUUAGAUACCCUAUUAUUUUGGACUUAAAUUUAUAAAGACUUGAGUAGUAUUAGAUAUGAUCUUGAAACUUAAAGAAUUUGGCGGUAUUUUAGUCUAUUUAGAGGAAUCUGUCCCGUAAUCGAUAAUCCACGUUGGACCUUACUUAAUUUUUAUUGCUUGUAUACCGCCGUUUAGGUUGAAAAUCUUAUUAGAGUAAAUUUUCUUAAUAUUUGAUUUUGUAAUAUUUCAGGUCAAGGUGCAGUUUAUAAUUAAGUGGAGAUGGAUUACAAUUUUUAUAGAUAUAUGAAUUAUAAAUUGUAAUAUUUAUAUGAAGGUGGAUUUAAUAGUAAUAUUAAUAAUGUUGUUAAUUUGAUAUUAGCUCUAGAAUGUGCACACAUCGCCCGUCACUCUCGUUAUUAAGAUGAGAUAAGUCGUAACAAAGUAGGUGUACCGGAAGGUGUAGCUAGAUUGAU